rnacentral:tRNA from 1 species
GCUCAGUUGGCUCAGUUGGUAGAGCAUGUGACUCUUGAUUUCAGGGUCAUGAGUGCAAGCCCCACAUUGGGCA